UACAGAGGUCUCAAGCGUUGUUCGGAUUCAUUGGGCGUAAAGGGUGCGUAGGCGGCGCGGUAAGUCGGGUGUGAAAUCUCGGAGCUUAACUCCGAAACUGCAUUCGAUACUGCGGUGCUUGAGGACUGGAGAGGAGACUGGAAUUCAUGGUGUAGCAGUGAAAUGCGUAGAGAUCAUGAGGAAGACCAGUGGCGAAGGCGGGUCUCUGGACAGUACCUGACACUGAGGCACGAAGGCCAGGGGAGCAAACGGG
rnacentral:rRNA from 1 species